UGAUGUUUUGCAUCCAAAGCUUAUAGAUUCCCUCAGCCAUACAAACAUUGAACUUGUUGCUUGUGGUGAAAAUCAUUCCUGCGCUGUAACACUUUCUGGUGAAUUGUACACCUGGGGUGCCGGAGAUUUUGGUCUUCUUGGGCAUGGGAAUGAAGUUAGUCAUUGGGUCCCCAAAAGAGUAAAUGGACCCUUAGAGGGCAUACAUGUUUCUUAUAUCUCCUGUGGGCCCUGGCAUACCGCUGUGGUGACCUCUGCUGGCCAAUUAUUUACUUUCGGGGAUGGGACUUUUGGAGUUCUUGGUCAUGGAGAUAGAAAGAGUAUUUCAAAA
rnacentral:misc_RNA from 1 species